UACGUAGGUGGCAAGCGUCUCCGGAUUUAUUGGGCGUAAAGAGAACGCAGGCGGUCUUUUAAGUCUGAUGUGAAAGCCUUCGGCUUAACCGGAGUAGUGCAUUGGAAACUGGGAGACUUGAGUGCAGAAGAGGAGAGUGGAACUCCAUGUGUAGCGGUGAGAUGCGUAGAUAUAUGGAAGAACACCAGUGGCGAAAGCGGCUCUCUGGUCUGUAACUGACGCUGAGGUUCGAAAGCGUGGGUAGCAAACAGG
rnacentral:rRNA from 1 species